AGAGAGAGACAUGCGCGCAUAUCAAUAAGCGGAGGAAAAGAAACUAACAAGGAUUCCCUUAGUAACGGCGAGUGAAGCGGGAAGAGCUCAAAUUUGAAAUCUUCAAGGUUUUACCUUGACGAAUUGUAGUUUAAAGAAGUGUUUUCUGCUGAAGUUUUGGUAAAAGUUCUUUGGAAUAGGACAUCAUAGAGGGUGAGAAUCCCGUAUUUGACCAUUAUUUUCAGCUUUGUGAUACACUUUCAAAGAGUCGGAUUGUUUGGGAAUGCAGUCCAAAAUGGGUGGUAAAUUUCAUCUAAAGCUAAAUAUUGGCGAGAGACCGAUAGCGAACAAGUACCGUGAGGGAAGAUGAAAAGAACUUUGAAAAGAGAGUUAAACAGUACGUGAAAUUGUCAAAAGGGAAGCGUUUGACACCAGUGUUGUUUUCUCGAAAAUCAAUUAAAAAUGGCUCGAUUUUGUAUUGUUGAGACCUUAAAAGCUCACUGUACAUUUUUCGUGUCCUUUUUAAUGCACUUUUCGUUUAACGAGUCAACAUCAGUUUCUUUUGUUGUAAAAGGGUCAUUGGAAGGUGGCUUUCCUUUCGGAGAAAGUGUUUAUAGCCUUUGGCCUCUGCAAUCGAAGAGACUGAGGUCUGCAGCGUAGACUCUUCGGGGUUAGAUACAUUUGUGCUAAGUUAUAGCUUUUUAUAGACAACUUGUUGACUAUAAUUAGUCUUGUAGCUUACUCGCUUAUGCUAUUUUACCUACGCUUAGGAUGUUGAAGAUGUAGCACAUCAU
rnacentral:rRNA from 1 species